UGGGGGAUAUUGCACAAUGGGGGAAACCCUGAUGCAGCGACGCCGCGUGUGGGAAGACGGUCCUCUGGAUUGUAAACCACUGUCCCCAGGGACGAAGAUGACGGUACCUGGGGAGGAAGCUCCGGCUAACUACGUGCCAGCAGCCGCGGUAAUACGUAGGGAGCAAGCGUUGUCCGGAAUUACUGGGUGUAAAGGGAGCGUAGGCGGGAUGGCAAGUUGGGUGUUAAAUCUACCGGCUCAACUGGUAGUCGCACUCAAAACUGCUAUUCUUGAGUGAAGUAGAGGCAGGCGGAAUUCCUAGUG
rnacentral:rRNA from 1 species